GGACAUUUGGCUUGGACAUCUGUCAUCCCGUUGACCAUCAUGGUUGAUCUAGACGGUCUGGCUGUUGAUGGGGAACUCACUGCUUCAUGUGUCUCUUCCAAAGCUGUAUGAUUGGAUAAAGAUGACCUUCUCCAAUAAAGGACUGUCCUUUGGUUAAGAGUACACAAGUAGUCAUGCNUCCCAGCUAGAAUCUCCAAAACGCUCUCAGAAAAUCAGAACUCCUUUCUCCAUGGGAGGAGAUGACAGCUGGGNAGUCACUAGGACAAUCAUCUUGUCUCUCCCAUCACNCUU
rnacentral:snRNA from 1 species